rnacentral:rRNA from 1 species
ACGGGUGAGUAACGCGUGGGUAAUCUGCCCUUGAGUUGGGGAUACCGUUCCGAAAGGGACGUUAAUACCGAAUAAGUCGUCGGACCCUGCGGGGAUCGACGGGAAAGGCUUCGGCCGCUGAAGGAUGAGCCCGCGUACCAUUAGGUAGUUGGUGAGGUAAUGGCUCACCAAGCCAAAGAUGGUUAGCUGGUCUGAGAGGAUGAUCAGCCACACUGGGACUGAGACACGGCCCAGACUCC